GACGAACGCUGGCGGCGUGCCUAACACAUGCAAGUCGAACGAGGUCCAUGAGAGCUUGCUCUCGGACGACCUAGUGGCGAACGGGUGAGUAACACGUGAGAAACCUGCCUCGGAGUGGGGAAUAACUCGGGGAAACUCGAGCUAAUACCGCAUACCUUCAGAUGAUCGCAUGGUCGACUGAAGAAAGAAUUUCGCUCUGAGAGGGUCUCGCGGCCUAUCAGCUAGUUGGUGGGGUAACGGCCUACCAAGGCAACGACGGGUAGCUGGAUUGAGAGAUCGAUCAUCCACACUGGGACUGAGACACGGCCCAGACUCCUACGGGAGGCAGCAGUGGGGAAUCUUGCGCAAUGGGCGAAAGCCUGACGCAGCAACGCCGCGUGCGGGAUGACGGCCUUCGUGGUUGUAAACCGCUUUCAGCAGGGACGAAAUUGACGGUACCUGCAGAAGAAGCCCCGGCUAACUACGUGCCAGCCGCCGCCGUAAGAC
rnacentral:rRNA from 1 species